rnacentral:rRNA from 1 species
GCGAAAGCCUGACGCAGCGAGGCCGCGGGAGGGAUGAAGGUUCUCGGAUCGUAAACCUCUAUCAGAAGGGAAGAAACCGCACCGUGCUAAUCAGCGGUGCAUUGACGGUACCUUCAAAGGAAGCACCGGCUAACUCCGUGCCAGCAGCCGCGGUAAUACGGAGGGUGCAAGCGUUGUCCGGAUUUACUGGGUGUAAAGGGUGCGUAGGCGGCACUGCAAGUCAGGCGUGAAAUAUAUGGGCUUAACCCAUAGACUGCGUUUGAAACGGUGGUGCUCGAGUGAAGUAGAGGUAGGCGGAAUUCCCGGUGUAGCGGUGAAAUGCGUAGAGAUCGGGAGGAACACCAGUGGCGAAGGCGGCUUACUGGGCUUUAACUGACGCUGAGGCACGAAAGCAUGCGUAGCAAACA